rnacentral:lncRNA from 1 species
UUUUUUUUUUUCUUUUCCUUUCCUUUUCUUUUCUUUUUCUUUUCUUUUUUCUUCUUUUCUUCUUUUUCUUUUCUUCCUUCUUCCUUCUUCCUUCCCGAACCUUCUUCUCCCAUUUUUUUUCUUUCUUUUUCUUCUCCUCCUCUUCUCUUCUCCCGAUUUCUCCUUCCCCCUUUCUUCCCAUUUCUUCUCCCGUGGAGGGAGGAGGGCGAGCUCGGGAGGCUUGGGAGGAACGGGCU